UGGGGAAUAUUGCACAAUGGGCGCAAGCCUGAUGCAGCCAUGCCGCGUGUGUGAAGAAGGCCUUCGGGUUGUAAAGCACUUUCAGCGAGGAGGAAGGCGUUAAGGUUAAUAACCUUAGUGAUUGACGUUACUCGCAGAAGAAGCACCGGCUAACUCCGUGCCAGCAGCCGCGGUAAUACGGAGGGUGCAAGCGUUAAUCGGAAUUACUGGGCGUAAAGCGCACGCAGGCGGUUUGUUAAGCCAGAUGUGAAAUCCCCGAGCUUAACUUGGGAACUGCAUUUGAAACUGGCAAGCUAGAGUCUUGUAGAGGGGGGUAGAAUUCCAGGUGUAGCGGUGAAAUGCGUAGAGAUCUGGAGGAAUACCGGUGGCGAAGGCGGCCCCCUGGACAAAGACUGACGCUCAGGUGCGAAAGCGUGGGGAGCAAACA
rnacentral:rRNA from 1 species